GAUGAACGCUAGCGGGAGGCUUAACACAUGCAAGUCGAGGGGCAGCAUAGGGUAGCAAUACUCUGAUGGCGACCGGCAAACGGGUGAGUAACGCGUAUGCAACCUACCCUGUACAGGGGGAUAACCCGGAGAAAUUCGGACUAAUAUCCCGUAAUAAUAUCCGGAGGCAUCUUUGGAUAUUUAAAGUUCCGACGGUACGGGAUGGGCAUGCGUAACAUUAGCUGGUUGGUAAGGUAACGGCUUACCAAGGCUAUGAUGUUAGGGGUCCUGAGAGGGUGGUCCCCCACACUGGUACUGAGACACGGACCAGACUCCUACGGGAGGCAGCAGUGAGGAAUAUUGGUCAAUGGGCGCAAGCCUGAACCAGCCAUCCCGCGUGCAGGAAGACGGCCCUAUGGGUUGUAAACUGCUUUUCCAGGGAGAGAAACUUACGCACGUGUUGCGUGACUGACGGUACCCUGGGAAUAAGCAUCGGCUAACUCCGUG
rnacentral:rRNA from 1 species